UGAUUGGCCGGUCGUGGCGGUUCCAGAGGCGGAGAAUCAAUUGGACCACUGAAGAAGCGCGUAAAAGAACAAGGAUUGAAACUUAAUCGUCACAUUAUCCCUGAAUUGGGAGGAGCGAGCUCGUCCCUACUCUUUCUCGUAGGACGCGCUAGAGUUGCAAGCCAUACGUCCGUCUGGAUGACCUCUCCAUCUCCCAUUCUGCUUAAUUUAAAUUAUGGGGUUUAACGUGCCAAAACCACUUUCUGAUUAUGAGGCAUGCCGUAGUGGAGGGCUCCGGAAAUUUCGACCACCUGGGGUUCUUUAACGUGCACCUAAAUCUAAGCACACGGGUGUUUUGGCAUUUCGCCCCCAUCGAAAUGCGGCCGCCGGGGCCGGGAUUCGAUCCCGCGCCCUCGUGCUCAGCAGCCCAACGCCAUAGCCACUGAGCAACCACGGCGGGUCCCAUUCUGCUUUCUCUUUCUCAAUUCCUCAUGUAAAUAAAUUAUUCGCAACUCAUU